CAAAGAUCUAUACAAGCACGUCCUGAUGGAGGAUCACCGCCCCUUCACAUCAUCAGUUAAAGAAGAGAGAACAAUGCCGGAAAGAUGUCCCAGUCCUCUUCUUCCACAGGAUGGUUCAGAAGAACAUCACAAUGUCCCACAGGAUGAUCAGCUUUUGAACAAUAUUAAGGCUGAAGAUACAUAUGUGAGGGGUGAUGAGCAGAUCAUAGAGGACUUUCCCACAGAUUACCACCUAGGUGAGUAGUAACCACUAAAUAAUGCAG